rnacentral:rRNA from 1 species
UUUGCGUCGAAGGUAUACCGGUAAGGAGUGCUGGAGCGAAUAGAAGUGAGCAUGCAGGCAUGAGUAGCGAUAAUUAAUGUGAGAAUCAUUAACGCCGUAAACCCAAGGUUUCCUACGCGAUGCUCGUCAUCGUAGGGUUAGUCGGGUCCUAAGUCGAGUCCGAAAGGGGUAGACGAUGGCAAAUUGGUUAAUAUUCCAAUACCAACAUUAGUGUGCGAUGGAAGGACGCUUAGGGCUAAGGGGGCUAGCGGAUGGAAGUGCUAGUCUAAGGUCGUAGGAGGUUAUACAGGCAAAUCCGUAUAACAAUACUCCGAGAACUGAAAGGCUUUUUGAAGUCUUCGGAUGGAUAGAAGAACCCCUGAUGCCGUCGAGCCAAGAAAAGUUUCUAAGUUUAGCUAAUGUUGCCCGUACCGUAAACCGACACAGGUGGGUGGGAUGAGUAUUCUAAGGCGCGUGGAAGAACUCUCUUUAAGGAACUCUGCAAAAUAGCACCGUAUCUUCGGUAUAAGGUGUGGUUAGCUUUGUAUUAGGAUUUACUCCGAAAGCAAGGAAACUUACAACAAAGAGUCCCUCCCGACUGUUUACCAAAAACACAGCACUCUGCUAACUCGUAAGAGGAUGUAUAGGGUGUGACGCCUGCCCGGUGCUCGAAGGUUAAUUGAUGGGGUUAGCAUUAGCGAAGCUCUUGAUCGAAGCCCGAGUAAACGGCGGCCGUAACUAUAACGGUCCUAAGGUAGCGAAAUUCCUUGUCGGUUAAAUACCGACCUGCAUGAAUGGCGUAACGAGAUGGGAGCUGUCUCAAAGAGGGAUCCAGUGAAAUUGUAGUGGAGGUGAAAAUUCCUCCUACCCGCGGCAAGACGGAAAGACCCCGUGGACCUUUACUACAGCUUGACACUGCUACUUGGAUAAGAAUGUGCAGGAUAGGUGGGAGGCUUUGAGUAUAUGACGCCAGUUGUAUAUGAGCCAUUGUUGAGAUACCACUCUUUCUUAUUUGGGUAGCUAACCAGCUUGAGUUAUCCUCAAGUGGGACAAUGUCUGGUGGGUAGUUUGACUGGGGCGGUCGCCUCCCAAAUAAUAACGGAGGCUUACAAAGGUUGGCUCAGAACGGUUGGAAAUCGUUCGUAGAGUAUAAAGGUAUAAGCCAGCUUAACUGCAAGACAUACAAGUCAAGCAGAGACGAAAGUCGGUCUUAGUGAUCCGGUGGUUCUGUGUG